AUUUGGCCAGUGAACUUCUGAGUGUCGGAAGUGUGCUACAUUGAACAUACGGCAGGAUUUUCGCUAACACCAGUAGAGCUUGCCUCUAUGACUGGAGUUUGGUAGUGGUCACUGCCACAUACACAUACUCUGCUUUCCUGCAGUGUCCCUUUACAGAGCAAUGAGGUUAGCAAAUCUGGGCCACCCACUUUAAAGAUCCACUUGUGGCUAGGUGUGGUGGUGCCUUUAAUCUUAGUGCUCAAGAGGCAGACAGGCAAAUCUCUGAUCAGCUUGUUCUGCAGACAGCCAGGGUUCCACAGACCCUGUCUUGGAAAGGCCCCCACAAGAAUCCCGUUUGCUGGCCUAGGUAUCUACAUCAUCAACCUGAAGAGGACUUGGGAGAAGCUGUUGUUAGCCGCUCGAGCUAUUGUUGCCAUUGAGAACCCUGCUGAUGUCAGCGUCAUCUCCUCCAGGAACACUGGCCAGGUAACUUGAAGUGAGUAUCUACAGUUUCCCUAUGAAAGCAUUCGUGAUAACGCUGACUCAAUCUCCCUUCAAAGCGAGCUGUGCUGAAGUUUGCCGCUGCCACAGGAGCCACUCCAAUUGCUGGCCGCUUCACACCUGGGACCUUCACUAACCAGAUCCAAGCAGCCUUCAGGGAGCCCCGGCUUCUAGUGGUGACUGAUCCCCGGGCUGACCACCAGCCCCUCACAGAGGCCUCUUACGUCAACCUGCCCACCAUUGCUCUUUGUAACACAGAUUCUCCCCUGCG
rnacentral:lncRNA from 1 species